CAUGGCGCGGCGCGCGUUACCUGAAUUCAUGCUGUAGAUACGCUGUUCCCAGAACACGCUCGACGUCGCGAACACGUUGUAGCCGACGUGCGAGGCGACCUUGAUGCGGUCGAGUGUGGAGAGCUGGGUCAGUUCCUCGAACCGAUCCGUCGCCGGAUCGUGGAUGAUUGCCUUCAUCGGGGUCUGUUCGAGGAUGUAGCGCGACACGCUGUGGGUCGGAUC
rnacentral:misc_RNA from 1 species